AUUGAACGCUGGCGGCAGGCCUAACACAUGCAAGUCGAACGAGGGGCGGACGGGUGAGUAAUGUCUGGGAAACUGCUUGAAGGAGGGGGAAAACUACUGGAAACGGUAGCUAAAACCGCAUACCAUCGGAUGUGCCCAGAGGGGAUUAGCAAGUAGCUGGGGUAAAGGAUCACCUAGGAGACGAUCCCUAGCUGGUCUGAGAGGAUGACCAGCCACACUGGAACUGAGCCACGGUCCAGACUCCUACGGGAGGCAGCAGUGGGGAAUAUUGCACGAUGGGCGCAAGCCUGAUGCAGCCAUGCCGGGUGUAUGAGGAAGGCCUUCGGGUUGUAAAGUACUUUCAGCGGGGAGGCGUUACCCGCAGAAGAAGCGCCGGCUAACUCCGUGCCAGCCGCCGCGGUAAUUC
rnacentral:rRNA from 1 species